GACGAACGCUGGCGGCGUGCCUAAUACAUGCAAGUAGAACGCACAGUUUAUACCGUAGCUUGCUACACCAUAGACUGUGAGGUGCGAACGGGUGAGUAACGCGUAGGUAACCUGCCUGGUAGCGGGGGAUAACUAUUGGAAACGAUAGCUAAUACAGCAUAAUAUUCAUUAUUGCAUGAUAAUUAAUUGAAAGGUGCAAUUGCACCACUACCAGAUGGACCUGCGUUGUAUUAGCUAGUAGGUGAGGUAACGGCUCACCUAGGCAACGAUACAUAUCCGACCUGAGAGGGGGAUCCGCCACACUGGGACUUAGACACGGCCCAGACUCCUACGGGAGGGAGCAGGAGGGAAUCUUCGGCAAUAGACGAAAGUCUGACCGAGCAACGCCGCGGGAGUGAAGAAGGUUUUCGGAUCGUAAAGCUCUGGUGUAAGAGAAGAACGGGUGGGAGAGUGGAAAGUUCACACUGUGACGGUAUCUUACCAGAAAGGGACGGCUAACUACGUG
rnacentral:rRNA from 1 species